GACGAACGCUGGCGGCGUGCUUAACACAUGCAAGUCGAACGGAAAGGCCCUGCUUUUGUGGGGUGCUCGAGUGGCGAACGGGUGAGUAACACGUGAGUAACCUGCCCUUGACUUUGGGAUAACUUCAGGAAACUGGGGCUAAUACCGGAUAGGAGCUCCUGCUGCAUGGUGGGGGUUGGAAAGUUUCGGCGGUUGGGGAUGGACUCGCGGCUUAUCAGCUUGUUGGUUGGGUAGUGGCUUACCAAGGCUUUGACGGGUAGCCGGCCUGAGAGGGUGACCGGCCACAUUGGGACUGAGAUACGGCCCAGACUCCUACGGGCGCCAGCAGUGGGGAAUAUUGCACAAUGGGCGGAAGCCUGAUGCAGCAACGCAGCGUGAGGGAUGACGGCCUUCGGGUUGUAAACCGCUUUCGCCUGUGCCGAAGCGUGAGUGACGGUAAUGGGUAAAGAAGCACCGGCUAAAUACGUG
rnacentral:rRNA from 1 species